AGAGGGAGUGGGAAAGGGGAGGGUUGCGGGUGGGAGGGACAUUAUGGGGGGGAAGCCAUUGUAAUCCAUAUUCUGUACUUUGGAAAUUUAUAUUCAUUAAAUAAAAGUUUAAAAAAAAUUCAGUUGCCUCAACAUGUAUUCAAGAGAAGAAAUUCUGUAGCAUUCAAAAGCACAUCUGUGUUACAAGGAACACAUUUCCCGAAUAGGAAAAGUCUUCUGACUAUGCAAAAUCUCCAACUCUCAAUUGUGUGUCUUGUGAUUUUCUCUACCCAAAGCAUGUUUUUGAGUCAGUAUAGUUUAGACAUGUGGUCAAGCAAGUCAGAGUAGCAUCAGGAGCUGAGUAAAAUGACCAUAAAACCAAAUAUACCAAUAGGGAAUUACUUUAGGGCGAAACGCUCACUUUGAAAGUACUGCAGGGCCUGGAGCUAUAGAGCAUUGAGUUAAGCUUUCCACAGUGCUGGCAUCCCACUGGGGGCUGGUUCAAGUCUUGCUGCUGCACGUCGAAUCCAGCUCCCUGCUCAUGUGCCUAAGAAAGCAGUGGAAUAUUGCCCAAGUGCUUGGAUCUCUGCACCCAUAUGAGAUACUUGGAAGAAGAGCCCCUGGCUCCUGGCUUUGGCCUGGCCCAGCCCUGGGUGGAAGCACACUCAUUCAUUCUCUCUCUCCCUUACUCUCUCUCUCUAACUCUACCUUUCAAAUAAAUUAAACACUGAAGGAAGGAAGGAAAAGAAUGAAAGAGAAGAAAAGGAAAGAAAGAAAGAGAAGAAAAGGGAAGGGAAGGGAAGGGAAGGGAAGGGAAGGGAAGGGAAGGGGAGGAGAGGGGAGGGGAGGGGAGGGGAAAGAAAAGAAGGGGCCGAGGCCGUGACACACUAGGUUAAUCCUCUGCCUGCAGGGCCAGCAUCCCAUAUCGGUGCUGGUUCUAGUCCUGGUUGCUCCUCUUCCAGUCCAGCUCUCUGCUAUAGCCUGGGAAAGCAGUAGAGGAUGGCCCAGGUCCUUGGGCCCCUGCAACUGCAUGGGAGACCAGGAGGAAGCACCUGGCUCCUGGCUUUGGAUCAGUGCAGCUCUGGCAGUUACAGCCAUUUGGGGAGUGGAACCAAUGGAAGGAAAAUCUCUCUCUCUCUCUCUCUCUCACUGUCUGUAACUCUACCUUUAAAAUAAAUAAAUAAAAUCUUUUAAAAAAUAAAUAAAAUGAAGAGAAGAAAAAAAAAGAAAGCUAGUUCAGCACUCCUAGUGUUUAGGGGUGGGUUUGGUAAUGAAUGUGUCUCAAAAGCAUGAGAUGAACUAUCUCAUUGGCUUUCCUUUAGAGACAUGCUGACCACUGGUGAUUAUGACUUUACUGUGUUAUGAAGUAAAAUGUCCAUUGAUUCUCCUAAGUUUGUUUCAUUUCUAAGUUACAUUAAAAUUACAGAAUUUACUCAAUAUGAAAUUAGUUGCAAAAUAAUUGAGAUAGAGGGUCCAGUGCUAUGAUAGAGCAGAUUAAGCUGCUGCCUGCAGUGCCAACAUCCCAUAUGGGCACUGAUUCAAGUCCUGGCUGCCCCACUACUGACCCAACUCCCUACUAAUGCUCCUGAAAAAGUAGCAGAUGACUCAGUUCUUUGGGCCCUGCCAUCCACAUGGAAAAUGCAGAUGAAGCUCUUGGCUCCUGUUGCAGACAUUUCAGGAGUGAACCAGUGGAUAGAAGAUUCUCUCACCCUCUGUAACUCUGCCUUUCUAGUAAACAAAUAACUAAUUCUUUUGAAAAUAAUCUAGAUGGCAAUGGAAACUAGAAAUAAAUCUGGAACAUGGUAUGCUAUCCAGCUGGUCUAGAGUUUUUGCUGUGGGAGGAGGAGCAACCCCCCAUUUCAAGCCCUGAGGAGGUCCUGGGUUGUUCAGACAUGAGGAGCUCUCAGAUAUUAUGUUUAAUGUUCUGUGUGAUCUGAUGUAACAAUUCCACCCCUCCAAAGGAACCAGAACCCAGAGCUCUGGUGGUCCAGUUUAGCUUAAGCUGCACAACUCUGAAUCUGUGUAAUAGGCAAUUUACAAAAGAUACUGCUAUUACAGUUAUCAUAAGAUUGAGUCAAAAUGUUCAGAUUUUCUAAAGAUGGAGACUAUCUUUUUAUUCAUUGAAUUUGUCCUGAAAACAAUAGCGAGUCACCUAAUCUUUCAAUAAUAACAAUAAAUAAUUUAAAUUGGCAUGGAAAUUAAAUGCAAGUCUUUUCAGUUGCAAUAAACAAAAUGGCAUUCUGCUACCAUAAAAUAUACACUGCGGGUUCUCUUAAAGAUUUGGGACUUCUAAAGGAAUGCAAAAUGGGUGCAGCUGUCCUCUUGGGGCAUGGAACCAGCAUACCCAUAACAACUCAAUGGGGAAGGCCUCCUCUCUCUGUGUUUCUUUCUGCUUUGUUCUUUUCUCUCCUUGCAAACCACCCUACUCUGGUUUUGGAGGCACGUGAAUAAACACUGCCCAACUUUUCUCAGCCCCUGCGUUUGUAGGACAACAGUUAAGGCACCUUAUUGUCUGAUCACCAAAUCCCAGUUCCAGUAAGAAAGUAUACAGUGGUCUCUGUUUUGCUUUCAUCAGACAUCUGGGACACAGGUUACACUCUGAAUUAGGAACAAAGUCAUGCUUUGUGAAAUGCUGCUCCAGGGCCCAGCACUGCGGAAUGAAGAAUAAAGCCAGGUAAAGCCGCCUGCUGCUCCACUUCUCAUCCAGCUCUCUGCUAUGGCCUGGGAAAGCAGUGGCAAUUGGCCUGAUCUUUGGGUCUCCCACCAAUGUGGGAGACCUGGAAGAAGCUUGAGGCUCCUGGCUUUGGAUCGGCCCAUCUCCAGCUGUUGCAGCCGUUUGGGGAGUGAACCACAGGAUGGAAGACCUUUCUCUUUCUCUCUUUCUCUCUUUCUCCUCUUUCUCUUUCUCUUUCUCUGCCUCUGCCUCUGUGAUGCUGCCUUUCAAAUAAAGAAAUAAUUCUUUAAAAAAAAAGCUACUCCAGGACUCAGACCCUAGAAUCAGUAUGGAAUAGUUUUCAGAAAAGGGCUUGGACUCAGGGAGUGAAUCUAGGAGGCAGGAGAACUUUGGAAGAGCAAUUUUUAAUGAUGCAUGUGGUACUCAAAACACCACUUUAUGGUUUUGUAAAAUAGACAGAAAAUAUUAUGCAACUCCACAAAUAAUAUUUAAAAAUCAACAUGGCACUAAGUAUGAAGUAAAGGAAAAAUAAAAGAAAUUUGUCAUCAUAUUAAGUAUGGGUUCAGUAUUUAAAAUACUGUGAUACCGGCUGGCGCCGUGGCUCACUAGGCUAAUCCUCUGCCUUGUGGCGCCGACACACCGGGUUCUAGUCCCAGUCGGGGCACCGGAUUCUGUCCCUGCUGCCCCUCUUCCAGGCCAGCUCUCUGCUGUGGCCUGGGAGUGCAGUGGCAGAUGGCCCAAGUGCUUGGGCCCUGCACCCCAUGGGAAACCAGGAUAAGUACCUGGCUCCUGGCUUCGGAUCAGCGCAGUGCACCAGCCGCAGCGCACCAGUGGCGGCGGCCAUUGGAGGGUGAACCAACGGCAAAGGAAGACCUUUCUCUCUGUCUCUCUCUCUCACUGUCCACCCUGCCUUUCAAAACAUAAAUAAAUAAAUAAAAGAGGAAAAAAAUACUAUGAUACCGCUGUACUGAAGAUAUUGGUGUGAACUCAGAUGCUUAUAUAUGAUAUAUGAAAUCACUGUAAGAUGAGAUUUACCUACAAAUAUGUAGUAAUGAGAUACAAAUGAAUUGCAUUGUGUCCUUCAAUGCCACCAUGAACAAAUUUUUCUGUAAGCUGCUUUUCCUGAAAUGUGAGGCAUUUUAAGUAAAUUUCUGAACCAGCUACCACCUACUCUGAAGUUGCACAUUGAUUGGGUUUCUACCAGAUAUUGCAAGUAGUCAAACCAGUCAAAAUGUGUAGGUGUUUUAUUUAAAGUUAGGUGUAGAGUCAAAUGUCAAUUUUUCACAACCAUGAGUGUGCAACAGUGUAUAAUAGAAACUUAUGCUGGAUGAAGUUGGUUCUGUAUUUUUUCUAAUGCUGUCCCACCCCCUGUACAGUGUCCAGAUUCACUAAGUUGGUCUAAAUUAAAGUAGCACCCACAAUCACUGACACAAUCUAAAAUAUUCCCACACGCUGCACAUACUGCUCCCACAAAGGGAAGUAGUUUAUAGAAAUGCAUUUCUAGGAAGAGUACCUCACCAAUGAUAAAUACCUUCUCUGCCUUGCCUUUGAUUUGUCAAAUCCUAAACUUUCUCCUGCUGAAAUUUGUCUUCUCUAAACAGCCGAUUCAAUCCUUAAAUAAUGUUGGAAUUUUUCAGUUCUUGUCUUUCUAGAUGUACUAUUAUUCUGCAGUCAGUUUCUGGAAUAAUAAUGUUAAUGUUCCCUAGAUCUCUGCCUUAAGAAGUCUCUCAUUUUCUUACAACAAACUCUUUGGAACAUCAUUUUUUCUCUCUGAACUUUUGUAAGUAGAUCUAGGCUCAUAGUUUUAACAUUUAAAGCUUUCACUUAGACCUCUGCUUGGAGAUCCGCAGAGACAUAUUCUGCUGUCUACUAAAAAUCUCCCCUUAGCAGCCCCAUGAGGACCUUCAAGACAACACCUGCACAGCCAAGCGUAACAUCUCCCUGUGCACCCUGCUUCUCCCUGGCUUCAGGGAUCCUAACUGGGUUUAAUGGGGUGAUAGGUAGAAUAAAAUGCCUGCAACUGAGAAGCUGUCAGCUGCCCUUCUGAAUGUGCAAAGCAGAAGAAUCUUUGCUAUUCUAAGACAUUUUGCUGAUUCUCCGAUUUUGUUUUUUUUUCUUUGUUAUGCCAAUAGAGACCCAGAUUCUGAGCAGAGGCAAGGCUACAAUCUUCUGGUUAUAGAUACUUGUGUGUCUUGGAAAAUGUCAAAUUUUCUCAGGCUAGUUAGAGUCUGUGGAGCAGGUGGGAAGUAUGAAUAAGGCAGGGGAGCUUGAGGGAUGGCCAGCCUAUUAUUUUUUCUACCCAAGGAAUCCAAAGACCUGAUUAUGAGGUUGGUAAAUACUGUGAAUAAAACUGCCAACUUCCACAGUAUGCAUUCUCCCCGGACUCUGUGAGUAGUUAAACUUUCCUUUUAGUUGGGAAUGUGACUACUCACACUGACCAUAUUCCAUUUCAGGCCAGUAAAAUGGGGAGUAAGGAAUGUGUACCUAUUCGUAUGUGCACCUGAAUGGCAGAGUUCUGUUUUUUGCUGUGGACUUUCUUUUCCCUUUUGGUAUAGAACAUAGGCAUGGAGGUGACCUGUGUCUAAACCUAUAAAGAAUCAAUCUUCAGUGCAAAAACUCAACCUGAGUGCCUAUGAACUGCUAAUAAAAAAGAAAUUAUCACUUUUUAUCACAAACUUCUAAAAAUUUGUCAUUUUCUUUAGACAUGAUCCAGGAAGCGCAUAACAGAUAUAGUACAAUGAGUGCAUAUUUUUAUACUCAUCACUACUUCAAAUGAUGGUGAUCAUUAGAUCCUCCUCUAGGUUGUUUUAAAUAUUGUCCCAAUAAAGAAAAAUAUACUGUUGUACUACAAUCAAUCAACAAAUAUUUUGAUAUUUGAAAACUAUUUUCAUAUUCAUAGCAUUUCCUUUAAUAAUUUAUUCUUUUUAAAAUUUAUUUGAAAGACAGAGUUACAGAGAGAGAGAGAGAGAGAGAGAGAGGGAGAGAGGUCUUCUAUCCAUUGGUUCACUCCCCAAAGGACAACAAUGGCCAGGACUGGGCUGUUGCCAGGAGCUAAAGCCAGGAGCCAGGAGCUUCUUCUGAGUCUCCCAUGGGAGUACAGGGGCCCAAGAACUUGGGCCGUCUUCUGCUGUUUUCCCAGGUGCAACAGCAGAGUACUGGAUCAGAAGUGGAGCAGCUAGGACUCAAAUCGAUGCCUGCAUGAGAUGCUGGCAAUGCAGGUGGUGGCUUUAUCCACUAUGUCACAAAGCCAGCCCCUCCUUUAAUAAUGUGUUCUAAUUUUUGAGUCAUCUGUAGGCUUAGUAGGCUGCCAAAGAAGAGAGCUACAUAGCAUGAGAACCUUUACUUAAAAUGUGGCUUAAUAAUACCCUGUGAAGAACUUGAGUCUCUAAAUAACUGUGUACAGCAAACUGCUCCACCUACCCAAACCACUCACUAUAGACUUGAUACAUACAAGAGAAUUACAAUUUCAGUUAUUUAAUUCCCACCAUCUGCACCCUUCUUUGUUUAGGAGACAUGAAAUGAAUUAUAUGUCUCUUGAAGGAACUAACCUCCUCAUACAUUUAUUUUGCUCUUGAUACCUCCAGCACUGUGGGAGAAUCAAUUUAUAUUGUUUUAAGCCUCAAACAUGUGGUGAUUAUUUGUAUCUUUAGUAAGAGAACACAGAUUUUGUUACUCAAAAUGGUAUGCUGCUGUCACUAAUACCUCACAAGAUGAAAGUAGUGUGAAUUGGGUGAUUAUUUUGGACUAGAAGAGUUUUGAGGGGGAUGAUAGAAAUGCUUGCAUUGCCCUGAAGAGACUGUUGGUAGAAAUGUGAAUGUUAAAGCAGUUUCUGUUGAGGCCCUCAAUGUUAAUGAGGAUUAUAUUAUUGGAAACCUGUGAAAAAGAAACCCCAGAAACAUGCCUGAGUGGCAUCCUAAAAUUGAAUAGAGAGAACUUGUAAGCAAUGGAUUUGUCUGUUCAGCCUAGGAUAUUUCCAAUCAAGAUGGAUAGGGUACAGCCUGAUUCUCUUUGAUCUUUACUCUAAAAUAUACAAGGAAAUGGUAAUACAAGUAUGGAAAUAUAAAGUUAAAAGGAAGUGGGAUUUAGCAAUUUUUUAAACUUUUAUUUAGUAACUAUAAAUUUCCAAAGUACCGUUUAUGGAUUACAACGGCCCCCCCAUCCCCAUAACUUCCCUCCCACCCGCACUCCUCCCAUCUCACACUCCCUCUCCCAUUCCAUUCACAUCAAGAUUCAUUUUCAAUUAUCUUUAUAUACAGAAGAUUGAGUUAGUAUAUAUUAAGUAAAGAUUUCAUCAGUUUGCACCCACACAGAACAUAAAGUGUAAAAUACUGUUUCAGUACUAGUUAUAGCAUUAAUUCACAUUGGACAACACAUUAAGGACAGAGAUACCACAUGAGGAGUAAGUACAAAGUGACUCCUGUUGUUGACUUAACAAUUUGACACUCUUGUUUAUGGCGUCAGAAAUCUCCCAAGGCUCUUGUCAUGAGUUGCCAAGGCUAUGGAAGCCAUUUGAGUUCACUGACUUCAAUCUUAUUCAGACAAGGUCAUAGUCAAAGUGGAAGUUCUCUCCUGUCUUCAGAGAAAAGUACCUCCUUCUUUGAUGGCCCUGUUCUUUCUACUGGGAUCUCACUCACAGAAAUCUUUCCUUUAGGGGUUUGUUUUUCUUUUUCUUUUUUUUUUUUUUUUUGCCAGAGUUUCUUGGCUUUCCAUGCCUAAAAUACUCUCAUGGUUUAUUGCAGCUCAAUUCACAAUAGCUAAGACCUGGAAUCAACCUAAAUGCCCAUCAACAGUAGACUGGAUAAAGAAAUUAUGGGACAUGUACUCUAUAGAAUGCUAUACAGCAGUCAAAAACAUGAAAUCCAGUCAUUUGCAACAAAAUGGUGGAAUCUGGAAAACAUCAUGCUGAGUGAAUUAAGCCAGUCCCAGAGGGACAAAUAUCAUAUGUUCUCCCUGAUCUGUGACAACUAACCAAGCACAAAAAAGGAAACCUGUUGAAGUGAAAGGGACACUAUGGGAAACAGUGACUUGAUCAGCCCUUGUCCUGACUGUUGCUGUACAAUUUAAUACUUUAUCCCUUUUAGUAUUUUUUAAUAUUUUUUGGUUGAACUCUGUAAUUAACACACAAUUAUUCUUAGGUGUUGAAAUUUAACUGAAAAGUGAUCCCUGUUAAAUAUAAGAGUGGAAAUAAGAGAGGGAGGAGAUGUAAAAUUUGGGACAUGCUCAAUCGGACUUACCCCAAAUGGUGGAGUUAGAAAUGUGCUAGGGGAUUCCAAUACAAUCUCAUCAGGUUCCAUGUACCAAUGCCAUCUCACUAGUCCAAGUGAUCAAUUUCAGUUCACAAUUGAUCACACUGGUAGGUCUAAGAGUCAAAGGGAUCACACAAACAAGACUAGUGUCUGCGAAUACUAACUGAUAGAACAAAAAAGGGAGAGAACAAUCCAACAUGGGAGGUGGGAUACACCGCAGACUCAUAGAAUGGCAGAUGCCCUAAACAGCACUCUGGCCUCAGAAUCAGCUCUUAAGGCAUUCGGGACUUAGCAUUUUGGGAGUUUCUAAGCCUUUCCAAAUGGCAAAUGAUUCUUUAAUUCAGAAAUUCUCUAUUGAGAGAAAUAAUGUUCUCGAGGAAAUGUCAAGUGUAUAGGUAGAUAAUACUUUACUGAAAAGAGUAAACAUGUGAAUCAUGUAUUCAGGCUCAGCAGGAUCAAGGAAUAGAGUUCCAUCUGGAGAACUUCUAAUGACAUGGAUUCCUUUGACAUACACAGGAAUUCUACAAGGAUUUUGAGAAUGUUACACCAUCAUAAAAACUGUCAAUUUGAAUUGAAAGUGGUGUUAUAAGAGAAGGCAAUUGGAUUUGUACAAUUCUAUAAACUGGAAGCAAGUCAACAGAGCUACUCAGUGGCCAAAACUUAAAAAGUCCAAAAGAUCAAGAGAACAAAAAGUUGAUUUUUUGAGAAGAUAAACAAAAUAGAUAAACCUCUAGCCAGAGGAAAAAACUUGAAUAAACGAAAUUAGAGAUGAAAAAGGAGACAUUAAGACUGACACCAUUGAAACACAAAUGAUUAUAAGAAAGUACUAUUUAGAAUGAUAUAUUAAUAAACUGAAAAAUCUAGAUGAAAUGGAUAAAUUCCUGGAUUCAUAUAACCUACCAAGAUUACAUCAAGAAAAUACAGAAACCCUAAAAGACCCAUAAUGAGCAAUGAGAUUGAAACAGUAAACAAAAGCAACCCUACAAGGAAUUAUUCAGGACAUGAUGGCUUUACUAUUUAAUUCUACAAAACAUUCAAAGAGGAAGUAACUCCAAUCCUCUUCAAACUAUUCCAAAAUAUUGAACAAGAUGGAACUCUGCCAAGCUCAUUUUACAAGACCAGCAUAACUUUGAUACCAAAACCAAAGAUAUGACACAAAAAGAAAACUACAGACCUCUAUCCAUGAACACAGAUGCAAAGAUUCUCCACAAGAUACUAGCAAAUCAAAUCUAAAAGCACAUCAAAAAGAUCAUACAUCAUGAUGAAGUGGGAUUUAUCCCAGAAAGGCAAAGGUGGUUCAAUAUUAACAAAUCAAUAAAUAUCAUAAUUCACAACAAUAGAAUGAAGAACAAAAAUCUUGUGGUCAUCUCAAUAGUCACAGAGAAAGUAUUGGAUAAGCCUCAACACUCCUUCAGGAUAAAAACCCUCCAUAAAUUAGGUAUACAAGGAACAUUCCUCAAAAUUAUAAAGGCUGCAUAGCACAAACCAACAGCCAAAAUUAUUCUUAAUAGGGAAAAGCUGAAAGCAUUUCCCCUCAGAUCUGGAAUAAAACAAGGAUGUCAGAUUUCACCAUUCUUAUUCAAUAUAGUACUGGAAGUUUUAGCAAGCGUAAUUAGGGAGAAGAAAGAAAUAAUGAGCAUCAAAUUUGGGGGAAAAAAUGAAAUUAUCUGUUUGCAGAUGAAAUGAUGCUGUACAUAGAAAAACUUAAACACUCCACCAAAAAACUGAUAGCAUUGAAAAACCAAGUCAGUGAAGUUUCAGGUUAUGAAAUAAACACACAAAAUCAGUAGCUUUUUGUAUGCUAAUUAUAAAUUCACAGAAAGAGAAAUCAAGACAGAAAUUCCAUUCACAGUAACUGCCAAAAAUAAAAUAUUUAGGAAUAAAUUUAACUAAAUAAGUGAAAGAUCUUUACAUUGAAAAUUAUCAAACAUUGAUGAAAUAAAGCAUUGACACAAAAAAAUGGAAAGCUAUCCCUUGCUCACAAAUCAGAAGAAUGAAUCUCAUUAAAAUAUUUAUACUACCUACAGAUUCAAUGCAAUGCCUACCAAAAUAGCAACUAUAUUCUUUCAGAGUUAGAAAAAAACAACCCUAAAACUUAUAUGGAACCAUAAAAGACCCUAAAUAGCCAAAGCAAUCCUGAAGAAAACUCAAGCUUGAGGCAUCACAAUACCUGACUUCAAAGCAUUCUACAAAGCUAUAUUAAUCAAAGCAUGAUACUAGCAUAAAACACUAUACAUAAAUCAAUUGGACAGAAUAAAGGGCCUAGAAAUUCAUCCGCAUACAUAUAGCCAACUGAGUCUUGACAGAAGUGCUCAAACCAUACAGUGGAAUAAGGAUAACCUCUUCAACAAAUGGUGCUGUCAAAACUGGAUGUAUAUAUGCAGAAGAAUGAAAUGAGAUCCAUAUCUCCCAUCGUAUCCAACUCAGUUUGGAUCAAAGGCUUAAAUUUCAUACCUGAGACUGUGGAGAUGCUGUGAGAAAAAGUAAAACACUACAAGACAUUGGUGUAGGGAAUGACUUCUCGGAUAAGAAUCCCCAGAGCAUGUGCAACAAAAGCAAGAAUAAACAAAUGGGACUAUCAAACUCAUCAGCUAUUGCAAAGCAAAAAAAAAAAAAAAAACCAAAAAAAACAAACAAACACAUCAAUAGAGUGAAGAGACAUCCAAGAGAAUGGGAAAAAUAUUUGCAAACCACUUAUCUCACAAAAGAUUAAUAUCCCAAAUAUAUCUCAAAUUUAAAAACUCAACAACAAAAAAGCAACCAAUCCAGUCAAGAAAUGGACACAGAACUUCAGUAGACAGUUCUUAAAAAGCAAAUACAAAUAGCCAACGAUCAUAUGAAAAAAUGCUCAACAUCACUAACUAUGAGGGAAAUGCAAAUCAAAACCACAGUGAGACACCACCUUACCCCUGUCAGAAUGGCUAAAAUCCAAAAUGUAGAAAAUGAAAAAUACUAACAAGGAUGUGGACAAAUGGGGACACGUCUAUGCUGUUGGUAAGAAUGUAAAUUGGUGCAGCCACUGUGGAAAACAGUGUUGGGAUUUCUUAAAAAGCUAGAAAGAGACUUACUAUAUGAUCUAGUAAUCUCAUUACUGGGUAUAUACCCGAAAGACUUGAAAACAAUGAAUCAAAGUGAUACCUACACUAUCAUGUUUAUAGCAGCACAGUACACAAUAGAUAAAAUUUCAAACCAAACAAGGUAUGUAUCAUCAGAGGAAUGGAUAAAGAAAAUGUCAUAUAUAUGCAUAAUGGAAUACUAUUUAGCUAUAAAAAUGGAUGAAAUUCUAUAUCGCAGCAUAAUGGAUGCAACUGGAGGACAUCAUGUUGAGUGAAAUAAGCCAGAUUCAGAAAGAAAAAUACCAGGUGUUCUUCCUUAUAUGUGCGAACUAAAAUUUUAAAAAGAAAGGAAGAAAGAAAAAAAAAGAUCAGAUUGCAGAAAAUACAGUUUUGUAAAACUUUAAUUUAUAACUUUUUCAAACCAAUGAUUAAGAAUGUCAUAUGGGCCGGCUCCGCGGCUCACUAGGCUAAUCCUCCUCCUUGCGGCGCCGGCACACCGGGUUCUACUCCCAGUUGGGGCGCCGGAUUCUGUCCCGGUUGCCCCUCUUCCAGGCCAGCUCUCUGCUGUGGCCAGGGAGUGCAGUGGAGGAUGGCCCAAGUGCUUGGGCCCUGCACCCCAUGGGAGACCAGGAUAAGUACCUGGCUCCUGCCAUCGGAUCAGCGCGGUGCGCCAGCUGUGGCAGCCAUUGGAGGGUGAACCAACGGCAAAGGAAAACCUUUCUCUCUGUCUCUCUCUCUCACUGUCCACUCUGCCUGUCCAAAAAAAAAAAAAAAAAAAAACCAAUGUCAUAUUAUUAUAGUUUUAAUGAUCUUUGACUACUUUAAAAUUAGUGUAUAUGGGUAAAAUUAUUUUUCCAUUCAAUUAUUGUUUAUAGCCAUUGUCUACACUCUCAUUAAACUAGAGUCUUUUUGCUUUUUCUUUGUAAGAUUUCUUAUUUGGUGAAGUAUAAUCUUUUUACUCUAAUGUAAAUUUAUAAUAUUUUAUCUCACAAACUAAAAGAACAAAAAAGAACAGAUAGAAAGGGAGAAGGAAGGAGGGUAGGAUGGAGAAGGGAGGAUGGAGGGAAGGAGGGAGGAAUAUCUUUAUUUCUUACAACUGUAUCUCCAAAUCACCUUACAUAUGUUAAAAACUAAUUAAACAUUAGAAAACAAGAAUUAUCAACAGUCACUAGAAGUGAGCAGAGAAGUAUGGAAAAUAUUCUCCUUCUAAGUCCUCAAAGAGAACAAACCAUGCUGACACCUUAAUUUUGUGCUUCUGCCUUCCAGGACGGUGAGAAUAAAUUUUUAUUGUUUUAUCACACAAAGUUUGUUGUGAUUUAUUAGAGAAGUCCAGGAAAGUAACAGGGUAGCUAAUUAAAAAUUCAAAAUACAAUUUUAUUUAGGUCAUUCCAUAUUUUCUCUCAUUAAUUAUACCUAGAAAGAGCUUGUUAUAAACUGAUUUCUUGUUCUUAGAUACAUUAUCUUUACAUUUCAAAACUUUAUAUUCUUUUUAAGAUUUUUUAAUUUUGUUUCAAAAUUAAAUUAGGUCAUCUUGAGGUUAUAAUAAUUUAUCACCAUCCACUUACAUUGGAAGAAGGAACUAAUAAAAUUUGGAUAUGACAAAUGGCACUUAAACUCACCCAUUGAGUAUUUGGAUAGUGACAAAUGGCACUUAAACUCAUCUAUCUUAGUUCUCUUGGUCAACAAUAUGUAAAGCAAUUUCAUUCCUUCUGAGAACCAGGGACGUAUUUCACCAUGGUCUUCUAGAAAGCAGGACUUAUGGUACAUGACAAGGGAAGAAGCCAUCAAUGUAUAAUCACCUGUCAUAAUCAACCUUUUCCUUGUUAUCAAAAAAUAGUCCUGGGCAUACUCUGCAUGGACUGUUUAGGUAAGUUCUUGAGAUUCUAAUACAAGGAAGCUGAACAUGACUUAGGGGAAUAUAAACAAAAUUUAUCAUGUUUAUGUCUUUCCUGCGACUCAUUUUCAUCUUUCUAGGUGAAAGCCAGAGUCAGAAGAAUUUAGCAACUCCAAGCCUAUGGAAUAAGUUUGGGAAAUGAAAGUUGAUUCUGAGUUUCCAAGACUGAGUGAAAAGUGAUGUCUCUGAGAGCCAUAGAACAUCCUGGAAGUCUGGGGAUUACUGGAGAAGGGCCUGAAGAAAUUGACUGUUUUAGGGGUGGGCAGCUGCUUCUCUUUGGCUCAGUCAGUAUGAUGCUCGCAACUUAUGAUUGGGGAAGAAUCUGGACAGAAAUCUUGGAACUGUUGCAAACAGUUUUACCAGAGGUAAGUGAGUCUGAAUUUGCAGCUCAGACACGAAAGAAGAAUCAAGAUUAUCAGAGAAGCAGAACUUGGGCAUGGAUGAAAAUGCUUUUGAGGCCUGAAAUACUGUCAUCUUUCAAUUAUAUGUCAAUCAGUUUCUUUUUUAUUUAGUCAUUUCUACUUGCAUCUCAGAUUACAUUUCUUUUACUUUGCCACUUUCACUAAUAUGAUUCAUUCCGCAGAUUUACAGAAUGCAAAAUAUAUUCAAAUCAUGAUUUAGCAUUCUGUAUUUCUAACUGUAUGCUAUGAAAGACUUGCUAAUUUUACUUCAGAAUUACUUAAUGACCUUUAAGACUAGAUAUAAUUCAAUCACUUAUUUUGCAAAUGGGAAAUGGAGGCCUUUGAAAUAAUAAAAUUACCCCACUUAAUAGACUCACAUAAAAACACCAUUCUUAGUACAAAAUAUAUUUCAUCGUGUUCUUUGAACUAGGAAAUGAUGUUUCAAGUAGCCAACCUAAGUUGGCUGAGGAAGUUCAAUGCAUAUGAGAAAAUGAUAAGGAGUCCUUUCCUAAACAUGAAGCAGAAGUUUAGGAACAAUCCACAAACGAGAACAGAAUAAAUCCCAAGGCUUGGGAAGACUUUUGCCUAGUUUAUGCAACAACCACAAGCAUAUCAUGAUAUGAAGGAAAAGAAAGAAGUGUAAUAGUUGACACAUAGCAAAAAUCUUUGGUUUAUUUAUUUAGCAAAUCUCAUGUGUUACUUUACUCUAGACUCUGUGACGGUACCUUAUGAAAUGAUGGUGAGAAUCCAGGCUGCACUCUUGCAGAAUUCAAUAGGAAUGCUCAUCUCACAAAGAAACAUAAGACAAACGGAGGGGUAGGUUCAAGAAAGGAAUUGGGGUUGAGAAGACUUCCCCUGAUUGCAGGAUAAGGAGAAUUUAGCAGGUAGAACUCUAAGAGUAUUUCAGAACUAGAGUAGAGCAUAAUCCAAAGUUUGUGAUUGAGAAAGGAAGAAUAGGAAACUCAGAGAAGUCCACAACAUUAAUGUGGCCAGAAUGUAGAGCGUAGGCAACAAUGAGUCAUGUUGGUAAGGAUGCCAGGCCAACAACACAGGUGGAAGCACACAGGAUCAUCACAGGACUUAAACACCUCACCAUGAAGCAAUGUUAGAGAGCCUUUCAUUGCAGGAAACAAUUGAGUUUCCACCUAUAAUUUGGAAAGAGAGUUUGUAAUUUAGAAAAUUGUUGUCAAUGCCAUGUCCUUCAACAUUUUUAAAGGACGUAUGCCUACAGCAUUAGAAAUCAUGUUUGUGGUUCCUUCAUAUAGAAGCAUGACUGGUGACUCUCCUUUCACACAAAAUAAAACAUUUUCAGGUUUAAAUAAACCAGAAUGCAUGAUUGAACAACAUGCCUGUGAAUAAACAUGUUUACAAUAUCAUUUUUCCUCUGUAUUUAGUAUGAACACUUGUGAGCUUGUCAUCAUCAACAAAAGGUAUUGAUUAAUGUGAUAAGCACUCUGCCUAGUUCUACAGAAGCUGAUAAGGUAGAGAACACUUGUAUGCCAUAGGACCCACACAAAGUAUAGAGACCCAACUUCUUGUAUGCUCUGUGCCAAAAUGGUCUACAUGCAAAGUGACAGUGAGCUUCUAUGUUAAAUAAAAUGUUAAUGUUUAUCUCCAGAUAGUGAAUUUGAGAUUAUGUGCUUUUCUGCAUUACUUAAAUUUCCUACAGUGAAUAAAUAUGUAUAGUGAUAAGAAAAAUACAUUUUUCAUCACAGAGAAGAAUUUUUAUUUUUAAAGAAGCACUCAUGUCACCACCUUAUACUGUGUCUCUCUAGAAACAGGGUUGACAUGUUGGCUGACCAUGAGCUUCAGAGAAUUAAAAAUAACCACGGGAAAUUUUCUCAGGUACUCAAAGAGGGAUGUCCUUGCUGGGAGUGUCCUUCUUAAUGCCCUCUAGGAGUCCUGGUACUUGGCACCUCCUAAGGAUGAUUAGCUCACCUGGGCUAGUGAAUGACUUAUCAGAACUCCCCAUGUUGAGCUCAAGUUUGUUGCACUCAUUUUCCCAUUCAUCUAAACACAAUACUCUUGCCCACUAGCCUGUAAGGACUCGGAAGAUAAGCUAGCUUAGGGUUGUCAUGUUACUUCCUCUGACACUGAAGGGACAGGACAGCCACAUGGCCACAGUGACUAGUAGUGGAAGCUGGAUAUUGUCCUGCCAUUUGCUCAGGUGGAAGGGGAAGUGAGUUGAUGUCAGAUAACCAGCUCCUGUCCCAUGAAGAGUACUCACUUGUCACAUGAGAGCACCUCCUUUGAUUGUUGUUGAAUAGAUGCAUUCUGUAUUAGAAGGAAGCUGGAAUCAGGAGAUGAAGGGUGGUACAUGAACCCAGGCACUGUGAUGUGGGCUGAGGCCUUUCAACCAAAAUUUUUAACUGCUAGGCAAAUUGCCUGCUUCCUUAGUCAUUUGGACAUGAGAUUAUUCUGCAAGAGCAUAACCAAAUGUAACUGUAUAAAUCCUACAAUCUCAUUGACAAACAUUGUUUAACAUGAAAGAAACCAUGCAAUAGGGUCUUUAAAAAGGUCAUGAAAAAUGCGAUUGUAAAAAAUGCAUUUCAAAAUCUUUUGCACCAAAAUUAAUGGAUUUUUUAGCUCCAUAUUUUACCAAAACUUUUGAAGGACCCUUGUACAGGUGUACUUGAAUUGUAUGAUUAAUUGUACAAUUAGCUAAUAUGAGGCAACUUUUCCUUUCUGGAAAGUCACAGGCAAUAAAGAGGUGGAAUAACAAUGGUCUGUAUGCUUAUGGAGUUAUAAGCCUCAGAAUGAACUCAUAUUCAGCUUGAUGGAAAUAAUUCAACUUAGAUACACACAUUUACAUAUAAAAUUCUAUGUAAUUAUAGAUACAUGGCAAGGAGGAUGCAUAUAUGGCUGUAUUCUGUCAGUCAAUUACAGUAUAGAGACAAUGACUCACUGGUAGCAAUGUGUAACACCUAGCUCCCUAAACUGAUUUCUAAUAGUGUUUUCCAGUAAAAGGAUCUGGAGCUCCUUGAAGGAAUGACUCAUUCCAGGAUUGGUUUGGGAAAUUUGCAAGAUGUUUAUAGAGCACAGGAUUAAACAAUCUAAAAACAAGAAAAUGAAAAAUUCCACAAACCCACAAUGAGAUGAUUGUGUUUCAGAAACAGUAGACAACUGAACGAGCUUCCAAAGAACAAAGAACAAUCUGUAUUCCAAGGAUCUCUGUCCUUAAUGUGCUGUACAUUGAGACUUAAUGCUAUAACGAGUACUCAAACAGUAUAUUUCGCUUUGUGUUUCUAUGGGGGUGCAAACUGUGGAAAUCUUUAAUUAAUGUAUACUAAACUGAUCUUCUGUAAAAAAAAAAAAAGAAGAAAUUAUCAAUUCCCAACUUGACUCUCACUGGGAUUAAACAUGACAAUAGGUCUGAUCUGAUUUCACCAUCAUUUAAAAAAUCAUCUAUUAUUUUUCACUUUAUGUUUGUGUGGGAGCAAACUGUUGAAAUCUUUACUUAAUGUAUGCUAAACUGAUCUUCUGUAUAUAAAGAGAAUCAAAAAUGAAUCCUCAUGUGAAUGGAAGGGGAGAGGGAGUGGGAAAGGGGAGGGAUGCGGGUGGGAGAGACGAUAUGGGGGGAAAGCCAUUGUAAUCCAUAAGCCGUACUUUGGAAAUUUAUAUUCAUUAAAUAAAAGUUAAAAAAAAGAAAAAAACUAAAAUCUAUAAGAUCAUAAAUAAAAAAAUAAAAUACUCCUAGUUCAUACUAGUAUAAUAAAUAAGUGAAUGAAUAAACCAGUUAAUAAGAAUAUACAGAUGUCUCAUGCAAAAUAAUUCCUGAUCAUUUAUGUAGAUACUCUGCCUUCAAAGAAUUGGAACGCAGCUCCCUACUUCCUAGAUGUGGCCAGUAGGUACAUGAUAAAAUGCCUUUGAAGAGUACAGAAUGGAAAAGUGGACAGAAAUUAGAUUUUAGUGGAGUAUCCUGAAAAGCUCUACCUCUUCCUCACCCAGGUGACCAAGGUUAGCAUAAAUAGUAUCACGUUAAUGUCAACAGUGAAGAAUAUGUACUUCCAUUCAAUGUGAUAAAAAUGGCAAGUUACCUCUGUGGCCUUAUUUUCAAAAGCCAACCUCAGUAUAUGAGGAAUAAAAUGGACCACUUUCAAUGGAGACAGAUAAUUACAUAGCAUCUAUCCAGUACUCUUCACAACUACCAAUCAAAUGACUGCUGAGGAAGUGUCACAGCCAAAAGAAGCCUAAAGAGAUGUGUAUUAUUUAAGUAAACAUUAAAUCAUUUGAUUUUUUUUACUUUU